CCUGGAGCAGCCAAGCAAGUCCUGGUGACUUGCAUCACAAGGGAAUAGAUUUGCCUUUUCUCAUACUCAGCCCUUCUACUGGACCUAGAUUCUCAUGAGAGGUCUUAUUCAUCUCCAUCAAUUCGGCGUCUUGUGCGUGGGGAAGUCUGUAAUUUCUGGCAACUCCAAGUUCCUGGGAUUAUAUUAAGGAAUCUUGUCUACUCAAAAGACCCUAGCCAGACUGCGGUUCCUGGUUGGCAAAUUCAUUUCAGGAGCACGAUGAGCUGGAUGUGUUUUCUGGAUCGUGAUCACUCCUGACACACAGCUA